UUUCAUACCGACUCAUGACUUAUUAAUGGGUUUUCCAAUAGAUGAAGGAGGAGGUGAAUCGCCGUGCCCCUUUAGAACUAACCAAAUCCCGGCAACGUUUUUGUAUCGUUUGCAGUUUCCGUUUUUCACCUGCAUUACUUCAGUUUUCAAUCAUUUAAGUGAAUUCGUUCGUUUUUAUAUAAGAUGGCGUCUCCUAAUCCUUUACUAUCCAAAUUUCGUCAACAAAAAAACACAGUUUCUUUUACCAAAAAAAAACACAGUUUCUUUUACCAAAAAAACACAGUUUCUAAAUCCUCUCCAAAGUCCAAAGGAUUUUUCUUUCUAGCUGACAAGUAAAGCUUGAAGCUUUUAUAUAUAGAUUAUGAUUAAGAGGGUAUAGUCAAGAACCAAAAGACGAGUGAUACAGAGGAGGCAGAAAAUGAUCUGUUACGACCUUUCAUACACACAAGGAGUUGGUACGGGAUGGUAUCAAGACAGUCGAGUAUGAUGGGUUCGUCUGAAGAUAUUAGAGACAGCUCUAUCUCUGUUCUUUCAUGGGUUCUGAUCGGUGUUCCUGGUCCUAUUCAAUUUGGUUUCACUGUGUGAAGGAAAGUUUUCAACCUUUUUAUUUUCCGUUUGUAGAAAGUUGUGACUGAUUUGUAUCUUUUGGGUCCAGUAUGGUUAUUCUUCUCCAACACAAGCAGGCUUUGGUGUUGGGAUCAUUUAGUGGAUAUUAGUCCUUAGAUCUCAAUGGAACAUCUAUCACUGGAAGUAUCAUUUGUAUCGCUCUAAAAUAUGUUUUACGUACGGUUAUUACACAGGCGAGAGGUUUAAGGAAGCAUAUGAAGAGGCUCAAUGCUCCUAAACAUUGGAUGCUUGACAAACUUGGUGGUGCAUUUCCCCAAAGCCAUCUUUAGGACCCCAUAAGUCGAGGGAGUUCCUUCUUGGUGCAAAGGCAUAUCCAGGUUAAUGGGAAACUCAGGACUGACAAGACCUACCCUACUGGUUUCAUGGAUGUUGUCUCUAUCCCUAAGACAAACGAGAAGCCAGGAAGAGGUUCGCUGGCCAACAGGCUGCUUAAGGGUUUACGAUUUUGAGCGCUAUAUUAUGUCGUCGCAGAUGAUUGUUAUUUCCUAGACGCACUUUUACAUCUUUUUGUUUGCUGCUAAGCUUUGAAACUUGUGUUUUCUUAAUAUAUUUCAAGAGUUAAGAUGGA